AAGUCGUAACAAGGUUUCCGUAGGUGAACCUGCGGAAGGAUCAUUAUCAAAUGUGACCUCAUCCACGUUAUGUGCACCGUUAUAAUUACUUGGUGAGAGGGAGUGCACUCGACCUCGGUUGGGUGUGCUCAGCUCACCACUUGACCACGUAGACUUAAGCUUCUAGUUAGUUUUCUAUACAUGAAACUAAGACAACUUUUAGCAACGGAUCUCUUGGCUCUC
rnacentral:misc_RNA from 1 species